AUGAAGGAAUAUUCUUAUCGACGGUUGACUCCACGACGGCUGUGUUGCGGUUGCAGUGGAGCGGUUGACCGUGCGUAUGGAUCUGCGACAGUGUCGGAGGGUGGAGCCGACGGGAGCUGUAGCAUGGAGGGCGCGGUCGGAUGGCGGAUCUGGCGACUGUGGUGGUGCAAUGACAGAGGUUAUGGAUGUUGGGCGGUCGUGUGUUCAGGACAUAACCAGAGGGAGCUGGUCGUUAAUCUAUUGCAUCGUGGAUGUAGCCAGAAACAGAGCUGGAUGGCGCUGCAAAGGUUGACGGCGACCGAGGUAGCAUGCGGACAGAGGGAGAUGGUGCUCUCGAUGGAUUCUUAUUGUGCCAAUGAAGGACUCGCGGCAACUUCGUAA